UAUUGGACAAUGGGCGAAAGCCUGAUCCAGCAAUGCCGCGUGAGUGAUGAAGGCCUUAGGGUUGUAAAGCUCUUUUGCCAGGGAUGAUAAUGACAGUACCUGGAGAAUAAGCUCCGGCUAACUCCGUGCCAGCAGCCGCGGUAAUACGGAGGGAGCUAGCGUUGUUCGGAAUUACUGGGCGUAAAGCGCACGUAGGCGGCUUUGUAAGUUAGAGGUGAAAGCCCGGGGCUCAACCCCGGAACUGCCUUUAAAACUGCAUCGCUUGAAUCCGGGAGAGGUGAGUGGAAUUCCGAGUGUAGAGGUGAAAUUCGUAGAUAUUCGGAAGAACACCAGUGGCGAAGGCGGCUCACUGGACCGGUAUUGACGCUGAGGUGCGAAAGCGUGGGGAGCAAACAGGA
rnacentral:rRNA from 1 species